rnacentral:rRNA from 1 species
CGAAAGCUGACGGAGCACGCCGCGUGAGUGAUGAAGGUUUUCGGAUCGUAAAACUCUGUUGUUAGGGAAGAACAAGUGCCAUAGUAACUGAUGGCACCUUGACGGUACCUAACCAGAAAGCCACGGCUAACUACGUGCCAGCAGCCGCGGUAAUACGUAGGUGGCAAGCGUUGUCCGGAAUUAUUGGGCGUAAAGCGCUCGCAGGCGGUUCUUUAAGUCUGAUGUGAACUCUUACGGCUCAACCGUACACGUGCAUUGGCAACUGCCGAACUUGAGUGCAGACACCAGCGCGAGUGGCAUUCCACGUGUACCGGCGACCUGCGUACA